rnacentral:lncRNA from 1 species
UUUAAAUGUUUUUAAAUUUGCCCGCUUUUCUGAAUCGGAGCUCGCCGGCGUUGUCGUGCUUCGUCGUCGGAGAAGAAGAAGAGGGAGGAUGCGCGCGCAGGAUAACUGUUUGAAUGUAGUAGCCGCCAUCUAGGUCCAAUGCCGACGUGGAUAAGCUAUGGGUCCCGCCCGGCUCCACCUAAUCCUGAUACAUAUUGUGCUUAAGGGCCAUGUCGUGCCUGCGCUAUUUGUGCGCACAGAGGUGUCGCAGCAGAGCCAUUCU